rnacentral:rRNA from 1 species
GACAGAGGGUGCAAACGUUGUUCGGAAUUACUGGGCGUAAAGCGCAUGUAGGCGGCUCGGAAAGUCGGAUGUGAAAGCCCAGGGCUCAACCCUGGAAGUGCACUCGAAACUCCCGAGCUGGAGUCCCGGAGAGGAAGGCGGAAUUCUCGGUGUAGAGGUGAAAUUCGUGGAUAUCGAGAGGAACACCGGUGGCGAAGGCGGCCUUCUGGACAGUGACUGACGCUGAGACGCGAAAGCGUGGGGAGCAAACAGG